UUUUAGCCCUGAUAGAAGUGAAAAUCCUUUUCUUUUUUUCUUUAAAAAAGAAAAGAUUGUAACGAAUAGCAGGAAAUAGC
rnacentral:sRNA from 1 species